CUCUCUCUCUCUCUCUCUCUCUCUCUCUCUCUUUCGUUGAGAACCAGAGGCUCCAACAAUGGCUUUUCUCAGAGCUGAAACCCUAGAGCUUGGAUUCGGAGAUCCCACUCCUCCUCAUCUGCGGCUCAAAGUUGAUGUCUUUCAUCUGUUUUCAUUAAUAAAAAUCCUGCCUUUUUUUUUUGUUUUGGAUUGAUAAAGAUAUGGUCUUUGAUGGCUGACAGAAGAGAGUGAGCACACACCGGUUAACAACAUGAUGGUAUGUCGUUCCCGUUGCGUGCUCACUUCUCUUGCUGUCAGCUUUGUUUCCUUACUCUUUCCUUUCUUCACCUCCUUUCUUUCUUUCUUUCUUUCAUUCUCUUUUUGUGUGUAUGUAUAUAUGUGUAUAUGUUUUUAUCUAUAUAUGUUGUCAAGGAUGAAAGAUAUAAAGCAAUAACUGAUGGGAAAGGUCAUGGAGUAGAACCAUUUGAGGAGAACCAGAGACCAACACGCGUGCAGUCAUCAGUCUUUGUCUGGAUCUUUGAUCCAAUCCUUUCUUUUUUUUCUCUCUUUUAUCUUCUGUGUUUCUUUGCUUUGCUUUGCUUGCUUGCUUACACUUGCUGUUUUUUGUUAAGAUAUAUAGAUCUGAAGAGAUGGAGAGUUUAUAGCAAAAGGAAGGAAAAAGUCAGGCUUUUGAGAUGGUGCACGGUUUUCAAGCUCCUCUUUCAGGACUUCAUCGCUGUUUUGCAUGAUCCCAGACUUCUUUUCCUCAACCUCAACCUCAACCUUUUUAUUUCAUGGUGAUUUGUUUAUCUCCUCCUCCUCCUCCUUGAUCAUCAUCAUCAGUAGCAGCAGCAUCAUCAUCAUCUCCUUCUUCUUCUUCUUCUUGAGGUGACUGUGAUGAGCAUAUGGGGGAGCUCGGAGACCAUCAAAAGGCUGUUGAUAGUUGGCAUGCGCAUUCUAAUUAUCCCUCAGCUUCACACUUAUCUUCUCACCCAUCAAGGCAAUUAUACUGAGUGAUCUUGGGAAGUUUAUCUUACGAAAGAAGGGGCAUUUGAUUUAUUAUUAAAACAGGUACUGUGCACUUGGUGUAAACUAGGUCCUAGUGUGGAUUUCCUGUGGUGGGAGGAGCUGUAUUUUUCACCAUUCCAGAUUGCAUGGCAAAGAGAUUUUAUCGUGGUGUUAUAGUCCCUGAAAUAUUAUUUUGAGCGCAUGUGGCCGGAUUCUAUUGCCCUUGUGUCAGCUCGCCCUAUACAACAAAUCCCAAAGAGGAACACAUUCAAUCAAACAGAGGUAAAGAAAAAGUAAGAGGAAGAGAACACACAUACCAAUUGUUCAUACAUUCAAAGCCCAAGCUAAUGGAUGAUGAUUUCCUCUGUUGAAUCAAAGAAGAAGAAAGUUAAAAAGCUAGCAAAAUUUUCUUGUUGAUGCUUUUGCAAGAGAAUGAACAUGAAAUAAAAAUGAGGGAGAUUUUGAAUAUGUGAACAUUGAGCAAUGUAGUGUUGUACUUUAAAAGGAUAGCAUUUGGGAACAAAGUGGGGCCUUUUAUGUACCACAUAGAAGGUUUUAAAUGCUUUU